rnacentral:lncRNA from 1 species
CCAAAUUGGAUCAAAGAUUUGAUCAAGUCAUCAUAAAAGUAAAUCAUCCAUUUUGGUGGAUUAGGGUUUUCACACCAUCAAUAGCCAAGAUCCAUUGAUCUUGAUGAGACAUAUGAUCAAAACAACCAUGAUCCAAGGUCAACUAAAGUAAAACAAAUAUAAAAUGCAAUGAAAUAAAAUAAAUUGCAUCAAAAAAAUUUUUCAAAAUGAAUUUUAAAAGGGAAAUAAAAGAGAAAAUCCAUAAAGUCCUAUAAAACACCAAAUAAAUCACCAAGAAAAUUAUGGAAUGC